GGGAAGCACCACGGCCUGACAUUUCAUCUACUGACUGAGCAGCCUGCAGGGACUAUAUUUCACAGCGGCGGGACACGAACCAUUCCCCCUGAUUUUAGGAAUGAAGAGAGGAAUAUUUAUCUCCUCCUGAAAUUAACAUUCAGUUUUUAAAAAGUCAAAAGGCCACGGCCUUCAGUCAGCUCAUAAAUCCGGCAUGUAAACUUUAAAAUCCAGGGAGGAGACAACACAAAAAAGCUGCAGUGACGUGGCUGUGAGCCGACAGCGGUGAAUUAUUUAUUCUCAUGUUGGAGGGAUUAUCAGCAAACGGAGGAGGAGGAGGAGGAGAGCUGGAGCACCCUGACAGUUAAUAGAAGACUGGAGAGUCGUAUUGUGGAACGACGGAGGACAGAAAUAUCUCAUUUGCACCGUUUUCUCCUUUUUUUUAUGACUGAAUAGAUGUAAUAAGAGGUGUGAUGACUGUUAGCAGGUUGCCAGCCAGUACGUUAGCUACCAUUCAUCUGAGAGAUAUCCACCAGUCGGAGAAAAAAAAAAGACUAAUAGCAUAAAAUUAAAAAUAAACCGCUUUUUAAGGACAGCCAAGUGGAGUCCUGCAAUCAGGAAUUGAUAUUGUUCUAAAACGCAGUCGUGUGGUUUGGAAAAGGCUCAUGAAUAGUUAAAUCUGACAAAAUAAAGCACAUUAAAUCCCACAUAGAAGAACCUGCUCAUGCAUCCGCCUUCACGUCAGUCCUUCAGCCGCUGACAUGCAAUACGACUUGAUGUAUCACGUAUACGGACGGCAGCGGAGGGAGAUUUCAUUACACAGCGAGGUCAACAGGUCACGGCCAGCAGCAGAGACAGUGAACGCUGAAGUGAAGUUACACAGACAGUGAAUGCAACACAAGUCAGCCAGAGAUCCUGCUUUUUGUUUGUUUGUGAGGACGGUAACACUUAACGUUAAUGUCCUCGUAAUAAGUGUUAGUUAAUGGGUAAUAAGGGUUUGUUAAUGUAAUAAGGGUUAGUUAAUGUAAGAAGGUGUUAGUUAAUGGUAAUAAGGUUUUGUUAAUGUAAUAAGGGUUAUUUAAUGGUAAUAAGGGUUAGUUAAUGUAAGAAGGUGUUAGUUAAUAGGUAAUAAGGUGUUCAAUAAGACUGUUCGUUAACCAAGUGUUAAUAACACAUUGAUUGAGAGAUUAUAAGACAUUUAGAGAGACGGUUUAAAGAGUUUCCUUUAAUAGUUUAAUAUAUGUAAUAUUAUUACUAACUUACCUAGUUUCAUUGUUAAACCUUUAUUAAGCAUGUCUUUAUUAAAAUGUAUACAUACUUUAUAAUGCAUAUAUAAACAGUUAAUCAUGCACUUAUUAACUGUUAACUAUUAGUAUAUUAAGAAAACAAUGAUUAUUACAGUUAAGAAAUCCUUUAUAAUGCAAUGAUAGAUAGAUACUUUAUUUAUCCCAAGGGAAAUUCAAGUCAAAAUCAUUUGCAGUUAACUAUUAUAUAUUAAAAGUUAACUACUUUUUUUUUUUGUUGCAGCUACUGGAUCCAAAGUGAGAAAUUCCUUAUUUGUAGUUUUGAUUUUCAGAAAGCAGCAGCGCCGUCGGUCAGACUUCAGUGACACUCGCUGUAGACGGUCGUACUCCGCAGUCGAUGAAUGAUUUCCCCUCACGGGUCUUUCCUCUUGCACAGGCCUGUUGUGUCCUUUGUGGGUCUGACCUUGUGUGAAUCCCCACAGAGCUUCAACCUGAACACUUCUAAUCAGCAGCAUGACUGAAAGCACCGUGAAGGUCCUGCUCCGACCACCGUCACGACAAACUUUUUAUCUCCGUCAGUAGAAACCAGAAGUGAGAUGAGGGGAGCAGGUCCCACCCCUGGUUCAGACGGGUCUUGUGCAGGUUAACUCUUCAGCUGCCGCCUCCCUCCUUUUGUUUUUUCACCAUUUUACCCCCAAAAACUGUCAUUUUUUUAACCUCCCGCGAGGCCGGCGGUCUGCUCGUGUUUUCACAGCGGCCCCAGCCAGACCAUUUGCGGCGUGUAACUGGUGUUUUUGAGGGAGACCCGACGCCACAAAAUGGGGCAGAGCUUGAUGUCGCGAAGGACAUGAAUCAACCUUUUUCCCCCUGAUGUUUUAUUCACCAACGGAGGCAGAAAGAAAAAAAGAAGCAGAGACACUGGAAAUAAAAACCCUGAGAGUGGCAGCAGGUUUCCAGCCAGUGAACUUCCAGGAAGGCUGGAUAAUGCCCAGAUCUGUGAACAAAUGGUGUAUUACCUAACCCCAGCCAGCUUUACAUGAUUUACAGUAGAGGCAGGAGAGGCGGGUGUCUGAGCUCACACUGCCAUCUGCUGGGGGGGAACGGAGCAACAAGAAGACGAGCCUCCUAUUUCACCACACAGACGAGCCAAAACGCCCCAACAUGGCUCCCGAAAACGCCUCUGGCAACCUCACGGACAAAUUCCCCCCCGAACCAGAGCCGAGUCUAACCACAAAACAGCCCCCAGAAUGUAAAGUUCAGCCUGUGAAACCGGCCGGGAGAAAGGUGGAGGGGAGGUAUGCAAAGGCAGCGGUUUGAAUCUGGAGGAGAACAGUAUGUUCCCUGGACUGGUUACACUGGUUUCUAUAGUGCUGCUGGUUUCUAUGGCGUUUCACCAGGCGCUCUUGGCGACGGCGCUGAAUACCUUAAAUGAUUUAGGCCGGUUCACCAAGGUUGAAAAAAACACUGGCUCAGCGUGGGAACGAAGCUGCUGCUGACAGGGAAAUAAAGUGUUCGAACAGGAAGCGAUUUAAAGGAAGGAGAAUAUUUCUGUAACGUUUCACAACAAGAAAUAUCUUUUAACUCUCAAUGUGGAAUAUUUAGCUGCUGUAAAAUAACCAAUCAAUAAAGGAGUCACAGAGCAGAGGGCAGAGGUCAGGAAGCAAACAAUUCAUGGAGCAAAAGUUCCUCCUGUAACUGAGUUUAAAGCUGCAGUGUAGAGCUUUUAUACAUAUAAAUGGACGGCUGUUAUGUUUAUUUAUAUACCUGAACCGUAUAUAUAAUCAAUAUAAAUGAUUAUUUUGUGUGAUUGCUGUCGGUGUUGAAUGUUGCAGCUGGUGACGGAGGGGCUCAUUCUGCUACUUAAUCAAUAAUAACACAUCAUCACUUAUAUGGUUUGUAUUAUUAUUGUGAAUCUGCAAAGUUAUGAAAUAAAUGAAGAAAGAAAAGUUUCAUAUUUGCCUGUAAAACAUUGGAAGUAUAAAGUACAUGUACUUAGUUACACUGGUUAUUCUAUAUUUAGAAGAUAUCACAUUUUACAACUAAUCUAUAUCAGGUCUUAAUAUCAGUUUCCUUCAUUAUUGAUAAUCGAUAUCUGUCCUUUGUUGAUUGUUAAUUCUUCAUUUGGAGUCUUUUUUUAAGCAAAUACUGAUUUAAGUGUUUGUUUGUGAUUGAAUGAGCAUUUAUUGUCUAAAAAGACUUCACAUAAACUAACUUGAUAAGUUUUGGAAAAUUUAAUAAGUUUUCUACAAUAUCGUGUAAAUAAAGAGAUAAACAAAACUGAUGUAACUGCUAAUGUUGUUCCCUUUUAUAUGUAUGUUACUUUAUUUAGCUUGUCUUUGUUUGAUUAGUUAUAUUAAUGUUCAGAUUAUGUUUGUUCCUGUUAUUUACCCUGUUGUCCUCCUUUAAUAAAAGAGAAGGUAAGAAUAAAAUAA